rnacentral:tRNA from 1 species
GCAUCGUUAGUUCCAAUUGGCAGAACGUUGGUCUCCAAAACCAAAUGUUGUACGUUCGAAUCGUACACGGUGCGCCA